rnacentral:rRNA from 1 species
CCUACGGGCGGCAGCAGUGGGGAAUAUUGGACAAUGGGGGGAACCCUGAUCCAGCCAUGCCGCGUGUGUGAAGAAGGCCCUCGGGUUGUAAAGCACUUUCAGUGAGGAAGAACGCCUGGUGGUUAAUACCCAUCAGGAAAGACAUCACUCACAGAAGAAGCACCGGCUAACUCCGUGCCAGCAGCCGCGGUAAUACGGAGGGUGCGAGCGUUAAUCGGAAUUACUGGGCGUAAAGCGCGCGUAGGUGGCUUGAUAAGCCGGUUGUGAAAGCCCCGGGCUCAACCUGGGAACGGCAUCCGGAACUGUCCAGCUAGAGUGCAGGAGAGGAAGGUAGAAUUCCCGGUGUAGCGGUGAAAUGCGUAGAGAUCGGGAGGAAUACCAGUGGCGAAGGCGGCCUUCUGGACUGACACUGACACUGAGGUGCGAAAGCGUGGGUAGCAAACAGGAUUAGAUACCCUUGUAGUC